rnacentral:rRNA from 1 species
CCUACGGGAGGCAGCAGUGAGGAAUAUUGGUCAAUGGGCGAGAGCCUGAACCAGCCAAGUCGCGUGAAGGAUGAAGGUUCUAAGGUUUGUAAACUUCUUUUAUCUGGGAACAAAGUGAGGCACGAGUUCCUGUUUGUAUGUACCAUAUGAAUAAGCAUCGGCUAACUCCGUGCCAGCAGCCGCGGUAAUACGGAGGAUGCGAGCGUUAUCCGGAUUUAUUGGGUUUAAAGGGUGCGUAGGUGGUGCAGUAAGUCAGCGGUGAAAGGUCGGGGCUCAACCCUAAAAGAGCCGUUGAAACUGGCUGACUGGAGUAGUGUAGAGGUAGGCGGAAUGCGCAGUGUAGCGGUGAAAUGCAUAGAUAUCGCGCAGAACUCCGAUUGCGAAGGCAGCUUACUAA